AGAAAUCUGCCUUCAACACUGGGAUAACUCCCGGAAACCGGGGCUAAUACCGGAUAUGAAAUCUGCGGGCAUCCGCGGAUUUGGAAAGUUUUUCGGUUGAAGAUGAUCUCGCGGCCUAUCAGCUUGUUGGUGAGGUAAUGGCUCACCAAGGCGACGACGGGUAGCCGGCCUGAGAGGGCGACCGGCCACACUGGGACUGAGACACGGCCCAGACUCCUACGGGAGGCAGCAGUGGGGAAUAUUGGGCAAUGGAGGAAACUCUGACCCAUCGACGCCGCGUGCGGGAUGAAGGCCUUCGGGUUGUAAACCGCUUUCAGCAGGGAAGAAGCGAAAGUGACGGUACCUGCAGAAGAAGCACCGGUCUAACUAUGUGCCAGCAGCCGCGGUAAUACAUAGGGUGCAACCGUUGUCCGGAAUUAUUGGGCGUAAAGAGCUCGUA
rnacentral:rRNA from 1 species